CGCCAAUCAGCAAUCUGCCAGGGUCGCUGGGGUCAUUGGUGUCCUGGGAAAGUUGAAAAAUGAUCAAAAAGCACCUGUUUGAAGAAUUCCAAAGGUGAACAGGUUCAUUGGAAACAGCAUCAUCACGAUUGCCAGGCGACAGGACACACGCCAGGAUAAGGAUGGGUAUAAAGCUGAAGGCUAGAUUUUCCAAAUUUACAGCCACUUUCUUCAGGUCUUCACAGUCAACAAAGGACCUGGCCCARGUGGACCAGGUCCAGAACGCAGCCCA